rnacentral:rRNA from 1 species
UACGUAGGGGGCAAGCGUUGUCCGGAUUUAUUGGGCGUAAAGAGCGUGUAGGCGGCCACACAGGUCAGCUGUGAAAACUCGAGGCUCAACCUCGAGACGUCGGUUGAAACCGUAUGGCUAGAGUCCGGAAGAGGAGAGUGGAAUUCCCGGUGUAGCGGUGAAAUGCGCAGAUAUCGGGAAGAACACUCGUGGCGAAGGCAGCUCGCUGGGACGGUACUGACGCUGAGGCGCGAAAGCGUGGGGAGCAAACAGG